GACGAACGCUGGCGGCGUGCUUAACACAUGCAAGUCGAACGGAAAGGCCCUGCUUUUGUGGGGUGCUCGAGUGGCGAACGGGUGAGUAACACGUGAGUAACCUGCCCUUGACUUUGGGAUAACUUCAGGAAACUGGGGCUAAUACCGGAUAGGAGCUCCUGCUGCAUGGUGGGGGUUGGAAAGUUUCGGCGGUUGGGGAUCGACUCGCGGCUUAUCAGCUUGUUGGUGGGGUAGUGGCUUACCAAGGCUUUGACGGGUAGCCGGCCUGAGAGGGUGACCGGCCACAUUGGGACUGAGAUACGGCCCAGACUCCUACGGGAGGCAGCAGUGGGGAAUAUCGCACAAUGGGCGGAAGCCUGAUGCAGCAACGCCGCGUGCGGGAUGACGGCCUUCGGGUUGUAAACCGCUUUCGCCUGUGACGAAGCGUGAGUGACGGUAAUGGGUAAAGAAGCACCGGCUAACUACGUG
rnacentral:rRNA from 1 species